CUAGUAUUUAAACUUAUAUGUGAAAUGAAACAAACUUUUAAUAUAUUCGGGUUACUCGGUAACGGACUUAUCAAAGAAUGAGGAUUCAUGAGCUUGAAUGUAGAGGGAUUCAUUGUGCAUGGAGGUGUGUCGGACUUCUGUUGCUGGAGGGUUGUGCUACAUGAUUACAUCAUUCUACAAUGGCACAAAUUCACAUAGAUUCAUGUGAGAUUAGGUAGGAGUUUUCACAAAGCUGGUGGCUGGCAAAUAUUUGUAACAGAGGAAAGAAGCUAUUCUGUGUGAAGAGGUAUCUAUCAGAAAUACAUAUUCAGUCAAAUCCACUCAUCAUGAUCUUGCACUUCGCAACUACCACUGCUGCUGUGAUUCUUACAGCUGAUCUUCAUGCCACUACAGUGACAUCAGGGGAAGAUUUAUUGUCUCAGAAAGUAAUAGUUCUGGUUUGAAGGUAGUUGCCCACCUUUUUACAGUCAUAUGUAGUUCCCGUUUGUUUAUUCCUUGGAAUCCUUCUAAGUCCCGUUACCUUUCUCCUAUUCUCAUUCUGGGUUGGAGUUCCCAGAUACCUCAUCUGGCUUAUUCUUCCCUUUCACUGGAUAUUUGUCAUCUUUUCCAUGUGUCUUCAUAUGAAAUCCAUCACUGUACCAUGUCCCAGGCUUCUUAUUUCUGUUAUACAUUGGAGGAUGCCAGUUGUGCCAGUUUGUGGACCACUCCCUAUACCUACACUGAUCUUUAUCUUCACCACCCAGCCGUUUCCUGCUGUACAGGUUUUCCUCUUCCUUCCGUCCCCAUUUUGCACUCCAUGAUUCCUCUAUGUGUGGGUAAGUGCUCCUUUUUUUUUCUACUUUUUCUUUGCACAGUGAGACAACUUUUUCCCACACUUAAAAAGAUAAUUUUUUUUUCAAGCUUUACAGUAGUACCUUUUCAAAUGCUUUCUGAAUAUCCUGAUAUACAAAAUCCACACCCUUAACCUCAUCUAAUAAGCAGUAAUCUCUUCAAAGUAUGUCAAAAGAUUAUUAAGGCAAGAUUUCCAUGUUGAAACCAUGUUGACUAUCCAACAGAAUUGUAAAUUUUGUCAAGUACUUUACAAAAAUCUUUUAUCAAACUUUCAAAAACUUUUCCCACCACUGAUGUAAGAUUAAUAUGCCUAUAAUUAUAAUGACAAUUUAUUUCACCUCCUUUGAAAAAAGGAUUUAAUUAGUCAAUUUCCAAUUACUAAUACCAAACUUUUACUUUGCUCUUAAGAUGUAUUGAGAAAUUUUAGACAGAUUCCAAUGCAUUUUGUAAGUUUUUAAAACAUAAUCUUAAAUUCUUAAUUAAAUAUAAUCUUAUUUGCAUUUAUUCUUCUGCUUACAUGGACAGUUAUUCCAGUGAAAGGUAACUUAUGUUAUUCAGUAUAUUACACAUAAUUUAUUGUGACUAGAGUUACCACCAGUUACAGAAAUGUUUUUUUAUUCAUAUCUGAAAUGCAGCAUUUCAUUUCUGGUAACAACAAAACAUGAGUUGUUCCAUAUUUUACCUAUUUUGUUUUUUAAAAUUUAGUUUCUGACAUGAUGACAAUUCUGAAAAUUAUCAAACACCAACAAAAUAUUUCUUUUUUUAGAGCUAUUUGGGUAACUAUUCUAAUUCUGAGAUGGAUGUAUACUAUUAUAUAAUAAGUUUUUAAAUGAAGUGGUGAUCUUAUGUCUCUACAAUAAUUGUUCAAGGGGUCCAUACUUUCAUGGAAAAGAAUACUACAAGUUCAAAUUUUUUAUAAAGUAGUGAAACAAUUUUGUGUACAUAGUUUUCAGGUAAAAGAAAUCAAGACUGUCCAAACACCAGAACUGUCAUUUUUGUUGUUGUGUUCCUCCUUUUUUUUAGUAUUUGCUUUAUUAUAACUUUUCCUUACAAAGUAAUUUUUGUCAAUUUUAAGGGUUUUGUUUUUGUCAAGUCAGUACAAUGUACUCUGUAUGUUUAGUAUGAAUUGCCUUAAACACUGACAAGUCUUUUUUUUUGUUGUUGUUUAUUUGUUUGAUAUGCUGAUGUUUUAUGUGAUUUUUUUAAGCAUGGAAAGAAUUGUUUUUUGACUUCAAGAAGCGUGUUGCACACUGAUGAAAACAAGGUUAAGUUGCAUCAACCAGUAAAUAUAGAACUGUAUUUAUUAAAUGCUAAAAACAGAAAUCUUUUUUUCUUCUUAUUUAUUUUAAAAUCAAACUAAAAAUAUAUUAUAAAGUUCAACAUUUGUAACAAAUAUUAAUCUUUAUUUCCAUGGCAGAGCAUUAUAAGAAUUACUUCAUUGGUUUGUUAUUGGUGUGUUGUGAGUAUAUUACAUAAUAAACUAAAGGUGUUUUUAUUUAAUGAUAUUUGCAACAUAUGUACUUGUGCAGCAAAAUGUGUUUUGAAGAGUCUUGGAACAUUAGAUGAUGUGUGUUCCAGUAGAAACUGAGAGAUAUGGAAAUACUGAACAUCCAGCAGUAAAAGACUGAUAGAACUACAACUCAAGGUGGAACCAAUAGCAAUUUUUCAAUAGAGUGAACAACAAGAAUUCUGGUUGUUUUCUUUCCAAAGUACUUUAUAGCGAGUUUUGUGUUAAAAAAAGGAAACAUUGUUGUGUUCUAUACGUUAAUAAAAUGAUGUUAGUUUAAGAUACAAUAACAAUGUGAUGUGUACUUUUUACAUGUACAUUUUCACUUUGCCUAUUUAGCACACCUAUAAAAU
rnacentral:lncRNA from 1 species